AAAAGAUCAAACGUUCCGGGGAAAUUAGC
rnacentral:piRNA from 1 species